CAUAAGUCAUAUGACUGACGGACAAGUGGAGUUUACCACAGGAAGUAUGACAACGAAUUUUUAGCCGACCGUCUGGGCACCCUGC
rnacentral:ncRNA from 19 species